rnacentral:lncRNA from 1 species
UGAGGGAGAGGGAGCUGCGGGUCACCACGGCGGGGCGGCGACCAGUCGGCGGGCGGCGUCCUCCGUUUGGGGUGGCCGGAGAGAGGGAGCAGGGGGUCCUCACGGCGGGGCGGCGAUCCGUCAGCGGGCGGCGUCCACCGUCUGGGGUGCCUGCAGGCAAGCCGGUGGCCGGGUUUUCCGGCGCCGGCCCUCCGACGCUCAAG